rnacentral:lncRNA from 1 species
GAGACCAAUUUGGCCUGGGGAGAACCGCCUUCAGGCGUUUGGACUCAGUGGAGGUUGUGAGUGCCCAGCAGUGUGGCCUGAAUCUCCGUGGGGUUUAGGGAGACGAAAGGACCCCAGAUCGACGUCCCCUCGUUCCCACUUUGGGGAUCGGCGCUCUGGCUGUUUCGUGAAGGAGAGAGAGGUUGAUUCCAUACCCUGGCUAUUGUGAAUAAUGCUGCAGUGAACAUGGGAGUACAUACAUCUGUUUGAGGAACUCAGAGUGGUUUUCCAGAUGGGAAUCACAUUGCUCUCUGUCCCUGAGAUCUUGCUGGAGACAGGGCUACUCAGUCCCUCUUUGCCAGAUUGAUACUGGAAAAGCAGUUUCUAUUGAGCCCCCAAAUGAAGAGUGAGUGCAGAUGAAGAGGAGGCAGGACUCACAAGCCCUUGAACUUUAUUCCAGAUCUGUUAGCACCUACAGGACCCUGCACCAGGAUUUCAUCUGUACUAUCAGCUUCUUCAAAGAGAGAGAGGUUGUUGACUCUUCAUGUGGAUGUCUGAGCUCAUAUCAGGUGUCUGAAAGAGGCAGAUUCUGAGGAUUUGGGUCAUGAUGGCUGCCAAAGCUUCUACUCCUGACUUAAAGGGCAACAAUCCUAGGAGACCACCAGCACUUACAUCCCUGGUAGGACAUGACACCUGCUUAUGGCUCAGAAGUGACAAAAGAGAAUUAUCAGGAUGGCAGUCCUUAUAACCAGAUGCUUAUCAACAUUCUUCACUACAUUCUGAAGAUGAAUUUCUACAAGGGAAAUUGUUUAUAUUUGUUGUUGGGGAUAGAUAAGGAAAGAAGAAAAAGGCUCUGGUGAGAAACCCAUUGUACCUUCUGGAUAUGAUCACUACCCAAUUUUAUCAGUGUCAUUGAUCACUAACCCAGUGCCUCGUAUGGUGCCAGGCACAGAGUUACUCCAAGAAUGUACAAUAAUGGCUGGAUUCUCUUUCUCCCUGUGCAACUCUUCAUGCAUGUGACUGAACUUAUAUUAAGUGUCUGAAGGAGGUUCGUUCUGAGGAUCUGGGACAUGAUGGGUGCUGAAGCUUCUACUCAAGAUUUGAAGGGCAGCUGUCCUCAGGAGACCCCUGGCACUUCCCUCCAUGGUGGGAUGUGAUGCCUGAUUCCAGUGAGUUCAUAGAGCUGAACAAAAGUACGUUGUGGAAUAGCUCCUGUGAGGUUCACAACAUAGUCCGGAAGAUGAGAAACUACUUUUUUUAGUAACCUGGAUUCCCAUCUAAGAGAUGCCUUACUUUAUCGUAAAGCAAUGAGUUGUUCACUUGAGGAGGGAACUUCAUGUUUAACAUGUAUUUGCAACAAAUUUACAUACAUUUUCUGCCUGUAUGAAUAGUUGUCAGUGAUGCCCAUGAAUUUCUCAGAUGGAUGUUGAAGUAUACAGUUAGAAGGUUAGAAGAUCUUCCUAGCAAUCUGUGAUUACGGUAUGCAUUCUUCCAUGGUUUCUACGUUUUUGUCUAUUCUAUAAUGAAAUUUUCUAAGAAGCCAGAAAUUAAUUAAGUGCUACCUAAAAAUAUCAAAAUGUCAGGUACAAGAAUUUGGCAUUUUCAAAAUUAGUAAUUACAAUGUAAGUUUGCCCUAUUAUAAUGAUACCCAGCUAUGUCCAGUAACAUAACUAGAUUGUUCUGAAUACCGUUAUUAUUUCCCAAUAAUACAAACAUCACAAUUUCAGUUCUGUAGUACCUGGCCUACCUACCCUUCCCACUGCCUUGCCCCAGGUAAACACAGCAUGCCUGUCACUAUACAUUAUUUUACAUGCCUGGAAAUAUAUUUAAAUGGAAUCAUAGAGGUGGUUUCUUUUUUUUUUUUUUAUCAACACCUGGCUUUUUUCAUUCACUCCACUUAUUUUUAUAUUUAUCCAUUUUAUUGCAUUUAUCUAUUGAUAUACUUCAUUCUUUUUGAUUGCUAAAUACUAUUGCGGUAUACAACCACACUAAACAUUUUAUUAUCCAUCCAUUUGUCGAUGGACAUUUUGGUUGUUUCUCAUUUGGGGCUCUUGUAAAUAAAGCUGCUAUGAACAUU